UGCACCCGCAGCCCAAAUCACGUGAUAUUUACAAACCCAACCACUCGUUACCAGCUGAAUCAAUGUGAAACCAAUAGACUUCCGGACAGUUUCUACUUUAUUAUGAUUUCAUGAAACUUUCCUCUUGAAUUUGUUAUGAAGCGAACAUGAAGACUUAAACCAUCGUGGGUGGACAAAAAAGUUUCAAUUCAGUCAAUCCAAAGGAAAGGCUGCCAACGUCAAAGUGGGACAAAGCUGGGCUUUCCUAAGGCUGUGAUGACUUAAAGGACGAGUUGGGGCUUAAUGACAGAAACCGUUCAGCAAGAAGUGGGAGAGUGAGCUCUGAGGGCAACCUGUACCACAGGUUUGAGGCUUGCAAAGAAGUAAUUAUGGAGGCAGCAAAGAUUCCCCUGGCAUGGAGGAAUGCGGCUUGUUCUUUGACUCAUCCCCUCUCUCUCUGUAAUCUGUUAUUCUUUUUUUUCUCCCUCUUUCUCUCUAAUAGCUACCCUCUGCACUCCCCGCCCCAAGGGCCUGUGGGCCAUUUGCUUUAUAUUUGCAUGCUUGGUGUAGGUGUGUGAGCGGUUCAACUGUCUGUUUGAAUCUCAAAUAGCCCAGAGAGCCACACGUCAUUGCUGGGUGGCAAUUCUACUUGUGUGAGGAAAUGAUGAAAGCCCUUCAACUGUGCCCCUGACUACCUUUGGGGCUGUCCAAACACUAUUACUAUUUGAGCGUGUUGCAGAGUUAAUAUUCAUGAUCCUGCUAACUGACUUUUGCGUUCAUAUUGAUGACUCCAUACCUCCUCAACUGGCUCCUGCCAGUACGUGUAUGUGUAUGCGUGUGCAAAGUGUUGGGUAUGUAUGUGCAUGUGAGUGAAAUGUGCCUGAAGUGAGAGCUGAGGAGUGCACUUUCAUCAGGAAUGUGACUUGGACUCACAGACAGAGACACCAAGAUGGCUACCUACAAGUAUAGACAUAUACAUGCAGAGGCAGCAACAUUCGCUACACCCGCAUCAGUCAAUGAUAUCCGAUAGAAGAGUUGAACAGCAGAACCAGUGAUGUAAAUAUUAUAUUUGUCCAUCAAACUGUAUUAGAAAUCUAUCUUCUUUGUGAUUCGCACCAUUUUUAACAUUUUCUUAAAAGGAUAGGUUGGAUUUUUUGACAUGAAGUUGUAUGUGCAUCAACACUCCCGACUCUGAUCGCCUCCUGGUGAGAGUUUGACAGUCAAAAUCAUUCAUUUAUUCAGCAGAGGAAAGAAAAAAUAUUCAAUGCAUGUGAUUUUCUGCUCGCUAGCGCUAUGAGAAAGAAGAAAAUAACACAAAAAGCUGUCUUUUUUUUCUGUGGAAGGAUGUCAGUGACAAGAACAUUCCAGCUCAUGCACACCCUCAACCCUUCAUCUUGUAAGAUUAAUGUCUCCAUCAGCUGUCAAAUAAUUGUAUUUUAACCUGAAUUGUUUACCACAAAUAUCCCUACUUAUUAUAGAUAGCUUUUAUCUAUUUGUGAUUAUUAACUCACUCUAACUCAAAAUAUCAGUGUAUAGACUGGUCAUAUAUCUCAUCUCGUUUCAUAUUAUCUGCAUACUGUAUUUGUAUAUAACUCUGGGAAAAACUGUUGAUUUUGUUAAUACUUGGGGUGUUUAUAUUGUUUAUUUUUCUAUAUUGUGUAUUUUGUACUGCUUAACUGAUUCUGUACUCUUGCUGCUGUGCAAUGCAAAUUUCCCCACUGAGGGACGAAUAAAGGCAUAUCUUAAUCUUAAUUAAUUGUGAUUAAUCACGAGUUAACUAUGGACAACAGGUAAUGAUACAUUUUUAUUGAUUGAGAGCUCUUGUUGUUACAGGCUGUUGUCGCCUGUCACUGAGUUGCAUUGCAAAAUGGUACAGAAUGUUAUCGUUCAGGGUGGUUUUUAUUUUGUGUGCUGUAUGAUUGGCGGUGCACUGAGAACACG